UGGUGCGAUCAUACCAGCACUAAUGCACCGGAUCUCAUCAGAACUCCGAAGUUAAACGUGCUUGGGCAAGAGUAGUACUAAGAUGGGUGACCUCUUGGGAAGUCCUCGUGUUGAACCUC
rnacentral:rRNA from 1 species